UAUAAAACUGUCACAACUUCUUACAGAUUCCUUUCGUUUAGGUUUUAUAUAGAUAACUGCAUAGUUAACUUCUCUGAAGUAGAAAAGAAAUUGCCUUUUUAAUAUAUCCCAUCCUCAAUCACAAUCAAAGGUUUCUUCAUGCAUUCCCAUUAAAAUCUUCACAAUUAAAGAUCUGCAUGUCCCGAGCCUUAUCAGGAACUAAGUGAAAUUUUGUGAUGAUUCAUCCUAAAUUUCUCAUGGGUCUCUUCUCUUCCUACUUCAUGCUUCUAUUUGGAUGCCUCAAAAUUGGUGCUUAAAUGUGUCUUUUGUAAGUUUACUUUCCAUUUAUUUUUUUCAAUUUCAGGGUGGAGAGUCUAGCAAAAUGUGGAGAGUGGCACUACUGAAAUACGUUUCAAUUAGGUACCAGUCGGUGCGUUGAGUCCCCUGGUCUUCAAGAAUUACAUACAUUACUUCUAGGAGCAAAGAAAAUGUCAAACUGUGAUGAAAAUGUUCAUGCUGUUAGUAUACAGUGGAACGGUGAGACAGUUGAUGUCACGACGGAUGGAGAUGCAGAAUAGAGUGUUUAACACUGCUGAGAGAUUAGUGAUGGUCAAGAGGACAAAUGAUCUUAAUAGCAUGAAGGUCACAGUUUCCACUCUAUUGCAAUUGAAUGUAAAGUUAGUCCCCAUUGGUUAGAGAAAACAAAGUUUUACAACUAUCAGUUACCACCAGAAGAUGUUUCUUUUGCUCAUCUAGAGACACAACUAAGUUUCUCAAUUUAUCUAAAGAUGUCCAAUGAAUUCUUGGCAAGACUUACCAGUUGGGCUAUGUUAGUUCAGUCAAGAGGGGUGAAGAUGUCAAUCAUGGGUGGGGAAGACAAAUAUUAGACACCAUCACUCCAUAGACAAAAGUGUUGAAGUUAUUUUUUAUUGUAAUCUCAUUAAAUUUUCGAGGGAAGUCAAAGUGUUCUUAUAUGAUUAGGAGAAUGAAUAUGUUCAUCCGAAA